CUGCUAAUACCGCAUAAUGUUAUUUGGGGGCAUCCUGAAUACCAAAGCUUUANGUGCUGAAAGAUGGUCUCGCGUCUGAUUAGCUAGAUGCGGGUAACGGCCACCAUGGCGACGAUCAGUAGCCGGUCUGAGAGGGAUGAACGGCCACAUUGGGACUGAGAUACGGCCCAGACUCCUACGGGAGGCAGCAGUGGGGAAUAUUGGGCAAUGGGGGAAACCCUGACCCAGCAACGCCGCGUGAAGGAAGAAGGCCUUCGGGUUGUAAACUUCUUUUAGCAGGGACGAAGAACGUGACGGUACCUGCAGAAAAAGCAACGGCUAACUACGUG
rnacentral:rRNA from 1 species